rnacentral:rRNA from 1 species
GAUGAACGCUGGCGGCGUGCCUAAUACAUGCAAGUCGAGCGAACAGAUGAGGAGCUUGCUCCUCUGACGUUAGCGGCGGACGGGUGAGUAACACGUGGAUAACCUACCUAUAAGACUGGGAUAACUUCGGGAAACCGGAGCUAAUACCGGAUAAUAUAUUGAACCGCAUGGUUCAAUAGUGAAAGACGGUUUUGCUGUCACCUAUAGAUGGAUCCGCGCCGCAUUAGCUAGUUGGUAAGGUAACGGCUUACCAAGGCAACGAUGCGUAGCCGACCUGAGAGGGUGAUCGGCCACACUGGAACUGAGACACGGUCCAGACUCCUACGGGAGGCAGCAGUAGGGAAUCUUCCGCAAAGGGCGAAAGCCUGACGGAGCAACGCCGCGUGAGUGAUGAAGGUCUUCGGAUCGUAAAACUCUGUUAUUAGGGAAGAACAAAUGUGUAAGUAACUAUGCACGUCUUGACGGUACCUAAUCAGAAAGCCACGGCUAACUACGUG